rnacentral:rRNA from 1 species
CCUACGGGAGGCAGCAGUGAGGAAUAUUGGUCAAUGGACGCAAGUCUGAACCAGCCAUGCCGCGUGCAGGAAGACGGCUCUAUGAGUUGUAAACUGCUUUUGUACGAGGGUAAAUCCCGAUACGUGUAUCGGGUUGAAAGUAUCGUACGAAUAAGGAUCGGCUAACUCCGUGCCAGCAGCCGCGGUAAUACGGAGGAUUCAAGCGUUAUCCGGAUUUAUUGGGUUUAAAGGGAGCGUAGGCCGCAUGUCAAGCGUGCUGUGAAAUGUCCGGGCUCAACCCGGGCCUUGCAGCGCGAACUGGCGUGCUUGAGUCCGCGGAAAGCAGGCGGAAUUCGUCGUGUAGCGGUGAAAUGCGUAGAUAUUCGGAGGAACACCGGUGGCGAAGGCGGCCAACUGGGCUUUAACUGACGCUGAGGCUCGAAAGUGUGGGGAGCAAACAGGAUUAGAUACCCCAGUAGUC